UGUGUAAUUAAGAAGAAUACUGCUAGCUGUACGUUUCUGUGUAAUUAAGAAGAAUACUGCUAGCUGUACGUUUCUGUGUAAUUAAGAAGAAUACUGCUAGCUGUACGUUUCUGUGUAAUUAAGAAGAAUACUGCUAGCUGUUGUUCCAUGUUAACUACAUUGGUGUUACUCUGUAAUAAGCCCUUGUUAUGAAAUUAGUUACAAUUUAACUACACAGGUAUAGCUGCAACUGAAUGUAAAGUGUGCCUAACAGUUUUAUCUUUUUGCUGGCAAUGGGGUUGACAUGCUUUUUUGCUCCAAAAUGACUAGUUUUUCCAAUGGCUAUGUAAGAAAAAAAAUCACCUCUAUUAGUAGCUAUACCUGUGCAACUUUAACAGAAUAUUAUAUAAACUGGGAUCAACAUAGAAAAUAUUAUUGGGCUUUUCUAAAUUGGGAUUAAAACAUGUUUCCAAGAACGACAUAAAAUGCAUCAAAUCAAAACAUAUUUUUUAAGGAACAACUGACAAGGCACUGGGAUUUCGAUACUAAGCUUGAUUGAGAUGCGUCAUCUAAAAAUUGGUAGCCUAGAAUGUCAAAACGCAUAUAACGAAAGCCCUAGUGACACUUACUGUAUCGUGACUAAGUGUCAGUCUGGUCGUCUGGACUAAAAUAAGCGAUGAAGGGAAACAGGAAGGCCCUGAGUGCCUCUUGGAAGCGAUAUUUCAUUAGUUCGGGCCUACAGCACGAGGCCAGGGUGGGGGAUUUAAACGCUACCGUCACUCUGAAACAGUCCCCAGCGGUAUUUAUGCUGACUGCGUUGAUCUCAGACUUCCUUGAAGGUGCAGAUCCUAUAAUCUGGCCGUGGCCUGCAUCUCUUCCUCAAUCCCCUUUAAGCUGGAUACUGUUACUGGGUCUCUGGACAGGAAUAGGGUCACAGAUUUCCAUGAGUGGGGUUAUAAAUAUCUCUGUCUGUCUGCAAUGUUCUUUGGAACCAUGCUGGAUGUUUCCACUGCAAACUUUAGAACAGAGAAAAUGCUUUGUGUACAUAAACAUUUUUGAACAAAAAGUAGUGAAAAAGUGAAAAUUUAGAACUUUUGGCAUGAUAUUUUAAGUUAAUAAUAAUAAGGACUUUUCUUUGCUAGUUCUGUGAAAGCUAUAAUAAUAUGCUAUUAGCUGAUAUUUUUCUUUCUUUUAUUUUCAUAUAAAAUACUUUUUAUUUCCUACUCAUCCAGCUCAACCUUAGCAGAGAAAAAAAUUAUUAUUAUUAUUAUUUGUUUAAAUUGAAAGGGCUCGGUAAUACUCCAACAAAAGACCUAUACUUGCUGCACACAUUAGUAAAUUAUAUCAAUAAAUAGACUGGCAUUUUCCAGGUCGCUCUCGUGCUGUUGUUAGCGUAUUGUGAGCUUGCGUCAGUAGUGCAACACGUUCCUUUAUUUCAGCAGGGUGCCCUAUAACAUUCUUUUGUUGUGUGUUUGACCAGCUGCAGCUUUCUUUCACUCUGCAGUCCGCCAGGUGAGCAGUCAAACACUGCGCAGCUGCAGCCGAAUCUGCAGCGCCUGUCCGGAGGAGUCACGGCUGCGCAGCCAGGGGACAGGCGUCGAUCUGGAGCUGAUCCAACUGCACGUGGAGAAGAGUGGUCAGUCUUAUGGAAAAGAGAAGAAUAAGAAAUAGUCAUUGGGCAGGUCAGAAUAUUUGUGAGCCAACCAGGAGAGAGAGAGGGGCCUGUGUGCAAUAUGGGAUAACCCCAGCAGAAUAAACCUAUGGCAGCAUAGCUAAAGGAGCAAAGGGACCAACACAGUCAUGCAGGCAGCCCUGACACAGUCUUACCACAGAGACUCUAUGCAUCUGUCCAGUGACAUCACUGACAGCUCAGUCUAACAGACUCUAUGCAUCUGUCCAGUGACAUCACUGACAGAUCAGUCUAACAGAGACUCUAUGCAUCUGUCCAGUGACAUCAUUGACAGCUCAGUCUAACAGAGACUCUAUGCAUCUGUCCAGUGACAUCACUGACAGCUCAGUCUAACAGACUCUAUGCAUCUGUCCAGUGACAUCACUGACAGAUCAGUCUGACAGACUCUAUGCAUCUGUCCAGUGACAUCACUGACAGCUCAGUCUAACAGACUCUAUGCAUCUGUCCAGUGACAUCACCGACAGCUCAGUCUAACAGACUCUAUGCAUCUGUCCAGUGACAUCACUGACAGCUCAGUCUGACAGACUCUAUGCAUCUGUCCAGUGACAUCACUGACAGCUCAGUCUAACAGACUCUAUGCAUCUGUCCAGUGACAUCAGUGACAGCUCAGUCUAACAGACUCUAUGCAUCUGUCCAGUGACAUCACUGACAGCUCAGUCUAACAGAGACUCUAUGCAUCUGUCCAGUGACAUCAUUGACAGCUCAGUCUAACAGAGACUCUAUGCAUCUGUCCAGUGACAUCACUGACAGCUCAGUCUAACAGAGACUCUAUGCAUCUGUCCAGUGACAUCACUGACAGCUCAGUCUGACAGACUCUAUGCAUCUGUCCAGUGACAUCACUGACAGCUCAGUCUGACAGACUCUAUGCAUCUGUCCAGUGACAUCACUGACAGCUCAGUCUAACAGAGACUCUAUGCAUCUGUCCAGUGACAUCACUGACAGCUCAGUCUAACAGAGACUCUAUGCAUCUGUCCAGUGACAUCACUGACAGCUCAGUCUAACAGACUCUAUGCAUCUGUCCAGUGACAUCACUGACAGCUCAGUCUGACAGACUCUAUGCAUCUGUCCAGUGACAUCACUGACAGCUCAGUCUAACAGACUCUAUGCAUCUGUCCAGUGACAUCACUGACAGCUCAGUCUAACAGACUCUAUGGCUUAUUUCAGCCACCUGGCUCUCUCAACUAUAAGGCUAUGGGCUCUAUUUUAACGAUCUAAGCGCACGGUCUAAAGUGCAUGGCGCAAGUGCAUUUAGGGCGUGUCCAUAUCCACUUUUGCUAGUUUAACGACACAGGUGAAAGGAGAUCAGUCAGGUACACAGGUGAAAGGAGAUCAGUGAGCUACACAGGUGAAAGGAGAUCAGUCAGCUACACAGGAUGAAAUUAGAUCAGUCAGGUACACAGGUGAAAGGAGAUCAGUCAGCUACAGAGGUGAAAGGAGAUCAGUCAGGUACACAGGUGAAAGGAGAUAAGUGAGGUACACAGGUGAAAGGAGAUCAGUCAGCUACACAGGUGAAAGGAGAUCAGUGAGCUACACAGGUGAAAGGAGAUCAGUGAGCUACAUAGGUGAAAGGAGAUCAGUCAGGUACACAGGUGAAAGGAGAUAAGUGAGGUACACAGGUGAAAGGAGAUCAGUCAGGUACACAGGUGAAAGGAGAUCAGUGAGCUACACAGGUGAAAGGAGAUCAGUCAGCUACACAGGUGAAAGGAGAUCAGUGAGCUACACAGGUGAAAGGAGAUCAGUGAGCUACACAGGUGAAAGGAGAUCAGUCAGGUACACAGGGGCUAGCGCAUAAUAGUGUAAACCGAUAAACAGACAACAUAAAGCCAUAAAUUAGAGCAAUCUGAAUUAGUGCAAUAGAGCAAUCUGAAGUAGUACAACAGAGCAAUCUAAAUUAACACAACAGAGCAAUAUGAGUGAGUAAAAUCUAAUAAUCUGAAUUAGUACAAUAGGGCCAUCUGUAUUAGUAUCCUCUUCCUCAACUGCAUCCUCUACUUCACCUGUACUUCUACUUCACCUACAUCCUCCUCAUCACCUAUACCCUUCCUCAUCUGCUUCCUCUACCUCAACUGCAUCCUCUACUUCACCUGCAUCCUCUUCCUCACCUGCAUACACUUCUGCACCUGUAUCUUCCUCAUCAUCUGCAUCUUCAACCUCACCUGCAUCCACUCCCUCACUUGCAUCCUUUAUCUCACCUGCAUCCCCUACCUCACCUCAUCCUCCUCAUCACCUGCAUCCUUUUCCUCACCUACAUCCUCUUCCUCACCUCAUCCUCCUCAUCGCCUGCAUACUUUUCCUUACCUGCAUCCUUUUCCUCACCUACAUCCUCUUCCUCACCUGUAUACUCUUCUGCACCUGUAUCUUCCUCAUCAUCUGCAUCCCUUACCUCACCUGCAUCCACUCUCUCACUUGCAUCCUUUAUCUCACCUGCAUCCCCUACCUCACCUCAUCCUCUUCAUCACCUGCAUCCUUUUCCUCACCUACAUCCUCUUCCUCACCUGCAUAAUUUUCCUCAACUAUAUCCCCUACCUCACCUGCAUCCUCCUCAUCACCUGAAUCCUUUUCCUCACCUGCAUCCUCUUCCUCACCUGCAUCCUCGUCCUCACCUACUACCUCUUCCUCGCCUGCAUCCUCUACCUCACCUGCAUCCUCUUUCUCACCUACAUCCUCUAUUUUACCCACAUCCUCUACCUCACCUACAUCAUCGUCCUCACCUGCAUCCUCUACCUCACCUAAAUCCCCUACCUCACCUGCAUCCUCCUCAUCACCUGCAUCCUCUUCCUCACCUCUGUCUGUCUGUCAGUCCGGAUUAAUGUUAUAGGCAUAGAUUGUGUAAAGAUAAGUUCCCUGUCCAUAUAAUUUGUUGGUAUGUUACGUUAAGAUUACACUUAUUGAUUAUUAACUGGGCCUUCUGUGCCUUCAUGUAGAUACCACAUGCUUGCAUUCUGCCGAUGAACACUGAUGUUCUCCACUUCUACAAAUCGCUCUAGAUAAGAGUGCCUGCUGAGGGACUGUUAUGUAAUGUGUAUAAAUGUGGAGACAUUGAGGGUACACACUGUAAGGCAGAAGUAGAUGAGCUAUGAUGUAAUGUGUAUAAAUGUGGAGACAUUGAGGGUACGCACUGUAAGGCAGAAGUAGAUGAGCUAUGAUAUAAUGUGUAUAAAUGUGAAGACAUUGAGGGUACGCACUGUAAGGCAGAAGUAGAUGAGCUAUGAUGUAAUGUGCAUAAAUUUGGAGACUUCGAGGGUACGCACUGUAAGGCAGAAGUAGAUGAGCUAUGAUGUAAUGUGUAUAAAUGUGGAGACAUUGAGGGUACGCACUGUAAGGCAGAAGUAGAUGAGCUAUGAUGUAAUGUGUAUAAAUGUGGAGACAUUGAGGGUACGCACUGUAAGGCAGAAGUAGAUGAGCUAUGAUGUAAUGUGCAUAAAUUUGGAGACUUCGAGGGUACGCACUGUAAGGCAGAAGUAGAUGAGCUAUGAUGUAAUGUGUAUAAAUGUGGAGACAUUGAGGGUACGCACUGUAAGGCAGAAGUAGAUGAGCUAUGAUGUAAUGUGCAUAAAUGUGGAGACUUCGAGGGUAUGCACUGUAAGGCAGAAGUAGAUGAGCUAUGAUGUAAAGUGCAUAAAUGUGGAGACUUCGAGGGUAUGCACUGUAAGGCAGAAGUAGAUGAGCUGUGAUGUAAUGUGUAUAAAUGUGGAGACAUUUCAACAUAGACGUGCCUACUGUAUGUUGUUAUAUUCAGCUGUCAACAUUCAAUAUUUAUGUCCAUAGUCCUCCUCUUCUUUCCUUUUUUUUGAAAAUGUGUGUAAUGUGAGGCUGUUUGCCAGUGGGAUUUCAAUAGUUGCAGUUUGAACCAUUGAGCAGCAACAAAUUAGACGUUUAUAAACUAAACCAGUGAAAAUAAAACUCUAUCGUAAUGGGACUUGGGCUUCUGCUUUUGCAGGCAGUUCAUUUACAAUGUUACAAUGUGUUAUAAUGUCUUGCAGCUACUGGCUUUGGGAAGACUACCAAUAGUUUAUCUUCACACAGAUAAAUAUGGAAUUAACCAUAAAAUGUUAAUAAAUUCAAAUGGCCAAUGUGUGACAGAA